rnacentral:misc_RNA from 1 species
GAUGAAGAACGUAGCGAAAUGCGAUAAGUAAUGUGAAUUGCAGAAUUCAGUGAAUCAUCGAAUCUUUGAACGCACAUUGCGCUCCUUGGUAUUCCGGGGAGCACGCCUGUUUGAGAAUCAUUAAACUCUAUCACCCUAGUUGGUGGACUUGAACCUUUUCUCUCGCAAGAGUGAAUGGUUUUAAAUUCAAUGUGGGAAAUUCCUUGGACCAUCUCGUUCAGGAUUUCAAGCGCAUGAAAGGGUGUUUACACUUUAUCUAAUGCUUGAUGGGCCUGCGAAGUGUUGAAUGAGGUAAUUGCUCAACAGCUUGACGAGGCAACUCGACUCGCUAUUAAGAUGCUGGGGCACAGCUUGUGUCUUGGCUCUUGAACUCUUGGUCUCAAAUCAGGUGGGAAAACCCGCUGAACUUAAGCAUAUCAAUAAGCGGAGGA